rnacentral:rRNA from 1 species
AGUCCUAUAACGAGCGCAACCCCUAUCAUUAGUUGCCAACGGGUAAUGCCGGGAACUCUGAUGAAACUGCCAGUGUAAACUGUGAGGAAGGUGGGGACGACGUCAAAUCAUCACGGCCCUUACGUCCUGGGCCACACACGUGCUACAAUGGUUGGUACAGAGAGCAGCCACUACGCGAGUAGGAGCAAAUCUUCAAAACCAAUCUCAGUUCGGAUCGCAGUCUGCAACUCGACUGCGUGAAGCUGGAAUCGCUAGUAAUCGCAUAUCAGCCAUGAUGCGGUGAAUACGUUCCCGGGUCUU